rnacentral:rRNA from 1 species
CCUACGUGCGGCAGCAGUGGGGAAUAUUGGACAAUGGGCGAAAGCCUGAUCCAGCCAUGCCGCGUGUGUGAAGAAGGCCUUCGGGUUGUAAAGCACUUUCAGUGGGGAAGAAAGCCUUGGGGCUAAUACCCUCGAGGAAGGACAUCACCCACAGAAGAAGCACCGGCUAACUCCGUGCCAGCAGCCGCGGUAAUACGGAGGGUGCGAGCGUUAAUCGGAAUUACUGGGCGUAAAGCGCGCGUAGGCGGUCUGAUAAGCCGGUUGUAAAAGCCCCGGGCUCAACCUGGGAACGGCAUCCGGAACUGUCAGGCUAGAGUGCAGGAGAGGAAGGUAGAAUUCCCGGUGUAGCGGUGAAAUGCGUAGAGAUCGGGAGGAAUACCAGUGGCGAAGGCGGCCUUCUGGACUGACACUGACGCUGAGGUGCGAAAGCGUGGGUAGCAAACAGGAUUAGAUACCCCGGUAGUC